UUAACUCAAAUAUGUAUGGAGUUAGAACGUUUGCCUACCUCUGCCGCUAGGGGUGCUGUUCCAACUCCAUACAAAUUUGAGUUA
rfam:Bombyx mori DNA, contig: Bm_scaf9_contig7464, strain: p50T/Dazao, build 2, whole genome shotgun sequence.